GAGCCAUUUUUGAAAAUUAUCACGUAUGAAUCUCAUACUUUUCUCAUAGUAUUUAUUCUGGGAAAUGAUAUCUUUGCUGCUUAUCUGUAUUAAGUAUGGUCUGUUGCAAUGGUAACAAUGUCAAUGCACUGAUCAGAUCAGAGCUUGUAAAUAUUAAAAAUAAUAUAUUAUGGACCAUAAUGAUAUAUAUUUGAGAGUUAAGCAUUUUUGCAUGUUAGAUGGUUUUCAUUAAUUUGUAAAUUUUUGUUUGCUCAGAAACAUUUGUAACCUGUGAAGUAUAAUUUAUAAUACUAUAUUAGGCUGCCUUUGUAGUGCACUGUGUAACCAUCAUAGCAUUUGUAGGUAUUUGAGAAGUUUGGUCUUUGUUUUUGGUUUUCCUCUUUCUUUCUUUUUU
rnacentral:misc_RNA from 1 species